rnacentral:rRNA from 1 species
GACGAACGCUGGCGGCGUGCUUAACACAUGCAAGUCGAACGGAAAGGCCCUGCUUUUGUGGGGUGCUCGAGUGGCGAACGGGUGAGUAACACGUGAGUAACCUGCCCUUGACUUUGGGAUAACUUCAGGAAACUGGGGCUAAUACCGGAUAGGAGCUCCUGCUGCAUGGUGGGGGUUGGAAAGUUUCGGCGGUUGGGGAUGGACUCGCGGCUUAUCAGCUUGUUGGUGGGGUAGUGGCUUACCAAGGCUUUGACGGGUAGCCGGCCUGAGAGGGUGACCGACCACAUUGGGACUGAGAUACGGCCCAGACUCCUACGGGAGGCAGCAGUGGGGAAUAUUGCACAAUGGGCGGAAGCCUGAUGCAGCAACGCCGCGUGCGGGAUGACGGCCUUCGGGUUGUAAACCGCUUUCGCCUGUGACGAAGCGUGAGUGACGGUAAUGGGUAAAGAAGCACCGGCUAACUACGUGCCAGCAGCCGCGGUGAUACGUAGGGUGCGAGCGUUGUCCGGAUUUAUUGGGCGUAAAGGGCUCGUAGGUGGUUGAUCGCGUCGGAAGUGUAAUCUUGGGGCUUAACCCUGAGCGUGCUUUCGAUACGGGUUGACUUGAGGAAGGUAGGGGAGAAUGGAAUUCCUGGUGGAGCGGUGGAAUGCGCAGAUAUCAGGAGGAACACCAGUGGCGAAGGCGGUUCUCUGGGCCUUUCCUGACGCUGAGGAGCGAAAGCGUGGGGAGCGAACAGGCUUAGAUACCCUGGUAGUCCACGCUGUAAACGGUGGGUACUAGGUGUGGGGUCCAUUCCACGGGUUCCGUGCCGUAGCUAACGCUUUAAGUACCCCGCCUGGGGAGUACGGCCGCAAGGCUAAAACUCAAAGGAAUUGACGGGGCCCCGCACAAGCGGCGGAGCAUGCGGAUUAAUUCGAUGCAACGCGUAGAACCUUACCUGGGUUUGACAUGGAUCGGGAGUGCUCAGAGAUGGGUGUGCCUCUUUUGGGGUCGGUUCACAGGUGGUGCAUGGCUGUCGUCAGCUCGUGUCGUGAGAUGUUGGGUUAAGUCCCGCUACGAGCGCAACCCUUGUUCACUGUUGCCAGCACGUUAUGGUGGGGACUCAGUGGAGACCGCCGGGGUCAACUCGGAGGAAGGUGGGGAUGACGUCAAGUCAUCAUGCCCCUUAUGUCCAGGGCUUCACGCAUGCUACAAUGGCUGGUACAGAGAGUGGCGAGCCUGUGAGGGUGAGCGAAUCUCGGAAAGCCGGUCUCAGUUCGGAUUGGGGUCUGCAACUCGACCUCAUGAAGUCGGAGUCGCUAGUAAUCGCAGAUCAGCAACGCUGCGGUGAAUACGUUCCCGGGGCUUGUACACACCGCCCGUCAAGUCACGAAAGUUGGUAACACCCGAAGCCGGUGGCCUAACCGUUGUGGGGGAGCCGUCGAAGGUGGGACUGGUGAUUAGGACUAAGUCGUAACAAGGUAGCCGUACCGGAAGG